CGUGAGCGAUGAAGCCCUUCGGGGUGUAAAGCUCUUUCGGCAGGGAAGAAAAAGACGGUACCUGCAGAAGCAGCUGCGGCUAACUACGUGC
rnacentral:rRNA from 1 species